rnacentral:rRNA from 1 species
CCUACGGGGGGCACCAGUGGGGAAUAUUGGACAAUGGGCGAAAGCCUGAUCCAGCAAUGCCGCGUGUGUGAAGUAGGUCUUCGGAUUGCAAAGCACUUUCGACGGGGACGAUGAUGACGGUACCCGUAGAAGAAGCCCCGGCUAACUUCGUGCCAGCAGCCGCGGUAAUACGAAGGGGGCUAGCGUUGCUCGGAAUGACUGGGCGUAAAGGGCGCGUAGGCGGUUUAUGCAGUCAGAUGUGGAAUCCCCGGGCUUAACCUGGGAACUGCAUUUGAGACGCAUAGACUAGAGGUCGAGAGAGGGUUGUGGAAUUCCCAGUGUAGAGGUGUAAUUCGUAGAUAUUGGGAAUAACACCGGUGGCGAAGGCGGCAACCUGGCUCGAUACUGACGCUGAGGCGCGAAAGCGUGGGGAGCAAACAGGAUUAGACACCCGGGUAGUC